AGAAGAAGGGGAGGAGAGCGAUCUCUUUCUCCAAGGGCAUGCACCGAGGAACUUGAGAGGUCAUAUGAAGAUAUAGCAAGAAGGCAGCCACCCCCAAGUCAGGAAGACAGUUCUCAUCAGAAACGAAACUGGCCAGGGACGCCUGGGUGGCUCAGCGGUUGAGCAUCCGCCUUCAGCUCAGAAAAGAGACCAAGUGAAGACCGUUCUCCAAAAAGAGAGUCAUCAUAUAUGUGAGAUGCUACCAGCAGUUUGGAUAAGCUGAGGACUGAGAAUUGGCAGUUGGAUUUGGCAACAAAGAGGUCAUCAGGUGAUGAGAGCAGUUUCAGUGGAAUGGUGGGGACAGAAAUCCGACUGGAGUGAAUUCAAGCCUUAGUUCAUUGUCACCUCAUGGCUACAAGAUGGCAGUGUCACCUCCAGCAUUGCAUCAGCAUUCCAAGCAGAAAAAAAAAGAUAAGGACAGAGGACAAAGG